AACUCACGCUUGGUACAGAGAGAAGCCACGUUUUGGAAGAAAGGAAUUAGGCAUUCACGCAGCACGAGAGAAAAAGAAAAAGCUUGCACAUGGAAACAAAAAAGAACAACAUCGAUUGAAAGAAAAUUAGGAGCUAAGCCGGCAACGACGGAACUUUAUUGGUUUAUUUUCUUUACUAUGUUGUUUAAUUCUUUGAUUAUGUUUAGUUAAUUUCCUUUGAUUAGGUCUGAGAUGAUUUCUUGUAACCCUAAUUGAACCAUGUUGCUGUGAAACUCUAUUUAUUGUGAAUGAUAAUCUAGUUUUUAUUCAAUUCAAUUGUUCUUAAUGCUUUUAUAUCCCGAUCAUAUAUAAACAUGAUUUAGUGAGAAUGAAUGACUACUGACCAUAGCUUUCUACUUAGACAGAAUUGAAUUGUUCUAAUAAACAGGGUUAGUCUAGGAAUGGAUAAUCGUUUGUUAGUGAUAUUAGGUUAACGUGUUUAAAC
rnacentral:lncRNA from 1 species